rnacentral:rRNA from 1 species
GACGAACGCUGGCGGCGUGCUUAACACAUGCAAGUCGAACGGAAAGGCCCUGCUUUUGUGGGGUGCUCGAGUGGCGAACGGGUGAGUAACACGUGAGUAACCUGCCCUUGACUUUGGGAUAACUUCAGGAAACUGGGGCUAAUACCGGAUAGGAGCUCCUGCUGCAUGGUGGGGGUUGGAAAGUUUCGGCGGUUGGGGAUGGACUCGCGGCUUAUCAGCUUGUUGGUGUGGUAGUGGCUUACCAAGGCUUUGACGGGUAGCCGGCCUGCUAGGGUGACCGGCCACAUUGGGACUGAGAUACGGCCCAGACUCCUACGGGAGGCAGCAGUGGGGAAGAUUGCACAAUGGGCGGAAGCCUGAUGCAGCAACGCCGCGUGCGGGAUGACGGCCUGCGGUUUGUAAACCGCUUUCGCCUGUGACGAAGCGUUAGUGACGGUAAUGGGUAAAGAAGCACCGGCUAACUACGUG